CCUGGAGGCAGGACAGUUACUCCGAUGUCACAUCGGAGAGGAAAGUCCAGACAGCAGAAGGCAGGGUGUCCCGCGUAAGCGGGAGCGGGUAACCGCCAGUUUAGAGCAACAGUGACGAACCGGGGUAAAGCUCGGGUGAAACGGGCAAUCCUCCCCGCUGCAACCUCCGAUCCGGCCGCUUGAGGACGCCUUCCCGAGGCCGAAAGCUUGAGGGCAUUAGAUAGAUACUGUCAAAACAGAAUCUGGCUUAUUCGCCUCCAGGUAUU
rnacentral:RNase_P_RNA from 5 species